GAUGAACGCUGGCGGCGUGCUUAACACAUGCAAGUCGAACGAAGCACCUCUCCCGAAGCUUGACACAGCUUGCUGUAGAUUGAUUCAUUUGAGGUGACUGAGUGGCGGACGGGUGAGUAACGCGUGGGUAACCUGCCUCAUAGAGGGGGACAACAGUUGGAAACGACUGCUAAUACCGCAUAGUAAGAAGAAUUCGCAUGUUUUCUUCUUGAAAGAUUUAUCGCUAUGAGAUGGACCCGCGUCUGAUUAGCUAGUUGGUAAGGUAACGGCUUACCAAGGCGACGAUCAGUAGCCGGCUUGAGAGAGGGAACGGCCACAUUGGGACUGAGACACGGCCCAAACUCCUACGGGAGGCAGCAGUGGGGAAUAUUGCACAAUGGGGGAAACCCUGAUGCAGCGACGCCGCGUGAGUGAAGAAGUAUUUCGGUAUGUAAAGCUCUAUCAGCAGGGAAGAUAAUGACGGUACCUGACUAAGAAGCCCCGGCUAACUACGUG
rnacentral:rRNA from 1 species